rnacentral:rRNA from 1 species
CCUACGGGAGGCAGCAGUAGGGAAUCUUUCACAAUGGGCGAAAGCCUGAUGGAGCAACGCCGCGUGCAGGAUGAAGGCCUUCUGGUUGUAAACUGCUUUUAUAAGCGAGAAAUAUGAUGGUAACUUAUGAAUAAGGAUCGGCUAACUACGUUCCAGCAGCCGCGGUCAUACGUAGGAUCCGAGCAUUAUCCGGAGUGACUGGGUGUAAAGAGUUGCGUAUGUGGCAUAAUAAGUAGCUAGUGAAAUCUGGUGGCUCAACCAUUCAGACUAUUAGCUAAACUGUUAAGCUCGAGACCGUUAGGGGUAACUGGAAUGUCUAGUGUAGGAGUGAAAUCCGUAGAUAUUAGAAGGAACACCAAUAGCGUAGGCAGGUUACUGGGACGGGUCUGACACUAAGGCACGAAAGCGUAGGGAGCAAACGGGAUUAGAUACCCCAGUAGUC